AACUAGCUGGCUCAGUGGGUAGAGCAUGUGAUUCUUAAUCUCAGGGUCAUCGGUUCAACCCCAUGUUGGGCA
rnacentral:tRNA from 1 species